CCUACGGGGGGCAGCAGUGGGGGAUAUUGCACAAUGGGGGGAACCCUGAUGCAGCGACGCCGCGUGGGUGAAGGAGCGUUUCGGCGCGUAAAGCCCUAUCGGCAGGGAAGAAGAUGACGGUACCUGACCAAGAACGCCCGGCUAACCACGUACCAGCAGACGCGGGAAUACGUGGGGGGCAAGCGUUCGCCGGAUUUACUGGGGGUAAAGGGGGCGGAGACGGCACUGCAAGACAGGAGUGAAAGCCCGGGGCCCAACCCCGGGUAUGCUCUUGGAACUGCAUGGCUGGAGUACAGGAGGGGCAGGCGGAAUUCCUAGUGUAGCGGUGAAAUGCGUAGAUAUUAGGAGGAACACCGGGGGCGAAGGCGGCCUGCUGGACUGUGACUGACGUUGAGGCCCGAAGGCGUGGGGAGCAAACAGGAUUAGAUACCCCGGUAGUC
rnacentral:rRNA from 1 species